rnacentral:rRNA from 1 species
CACGUAGGGCGCAAGCGUUGUCCGGAAUUAUUGGGCGUAAAGAGCUCGUAGGCGGUCUGUUACGUCUGCUGUGAAAACCCGGGGCUUAACCCUGGGCUUGCAGUGGAUACGGGCAGACUAGAGGCAGGUAGGGGAGAAUGGAAUUCCCGGUGUAGCGGUGAAAUGCGCAGAUAUCGGGAGGAACACCGGUGGCGAAGGCGGUUCUCUGGACAGUUCCUGACACUGAGGCACGAAGGCCAGGGAGCAAACGG